AAUAAUAAUAAUAAUAUCGCAGUCCAGCUGUUUUUAAAUUCCUUUUCUCUUUCUUUCAAAUCCUUUCUCAAUCCAUCUUCCUUUAAUCUCUCCCUCUUCUUCCGCUCAAAUUAUCCAAAAAUCUCUCCUCGUCUGCAAACUCUCUCUUACUUGUCUGAAACGCCUUAAUAUCUUCUCUCCACUGCCAUUUUCUAUAUCUCUUUUUUUGAUCUAUCACUACUACUUGGUGUUCUCUGUGGUUCUCUCUUAAUUGACUAUCGUUAGAACUUGUAAGGUGAAGAAUGGUGGUAGAAGAGGUGAAUUAACUAAUGAAUUUGGGUAUAAUGAAUCUAGUGAAUUGGGCAGUGGAAAUUUUGUAAAUGAGAGAGGGUUAUUAGGGUUUUAGUCAUGGCGCAAGAGGCUACUCAGAGCUGGAUGUUUUCUUACAAGGGGAUGUCAUCCGAUAACAUUAAGGGUUUGGUAUUAGCAAUGUCUUCGAGCGUAUUCAUUGGUGCCAGCUUCAUUAUAAAGAAGAAGGGAUUGAAGAAGGCCGGGGCAUCGGGAGUUAGGGCAGGUGUUGGAGGCUAUUCUUACUUAUACGAACCACUUUGGUGGUUGGGCAUGAUAACAAUGAUUGUUGGGGAAAUUGCUAAUUUUGCAGCCUAUGCAUUUGCGCCAGCAAUACUCGUUACUCCUCUUGGUGCACUCAGCAUUAUUAUCAGUGCUGUACUUGCACAUAUUAUCUUACGGGAGAAGCUACAUAUUUUUGGUAUUCUUGGUUGUAUUCUGUGCGUUGUGGGGUCGACAACAAUUGUUUUACAUGCUCCUCAAGAACGUGAAAUUGAGUCUGUGACACAAGUAUGGGAUCUUGCUACUGAGCCAGCUUUUCUUAUGUAUGCCGCUUUGGUAUUAGCAGCAGUUUUUCUACUUGUAGUCCAUGUUAUCCCACAGUACGGGCAGACACAUAUAAUGGUCUAUAUUGGGGUUUGUUCACUUGUGGGUUCUCUAACGGUCAUGAGUGUUAAAGCAUUAGGAAUUGCUUUGAAGUUAACAUUCUCGGGAAUGAAUCAGCUGGUAUACCCUCAGACAUGGGUAUUCACCAUUGUUGUAGUCACAUGUGUGAUUACCCAACUGAACUAUUUAAACAAGGCACUUGAUACUUUCAACACUGCUGUUGUAUCACCCAUCUACUAUGUGAUGUUCACAUCAUUAACCAUUGUGGCCAGUGUGAUUAUGUUUAAGGACUGGGAUCGGCAAAAUGCAACUCAGAUUGUCACAGAAAUGUGUGGGUUUGUGACUAUUCUGUCUGGGACAUUUCUUCUUCACAAAACCAAGGACAUGGCUGAUGGUCCAUUUACCUCCUUCCGCCUUUCUAAGCUCACAGAAGUGGGUGACUAUGAUCCUGAAGGCAUCCCCCUUAAGUGCUAGGAAUCCUUGCGGUUACCGUGAUACUUGGUUAAUUCAUUGUGCUAUCUUUCAUACUUUUGUGGGGAGCAAACUGAAUGUCACCUACCUGUACUCCCAUGAAAUGUUUUUUGGAUACAAUUAGAGAAGAACAGGAGGUUCUUUGGAUCAAAAUGAGAUGAUAGCGGGCUGUAACCUCCAAUUUCAAUUUCCUCCCCCUGCUUGUGAGGGAUUCGGCAAAUGCAAGCUGGAUAUGAUCCUCAGAAGGCAUUACUGUUGAUGAGGUCCUGGCAGUGCAGUUGUUGAUUUUAAUAUUUCAUAUGUAAAAUUUAUGAUUGCUUAGUCAUGUUGCAGCUGGCCAUGUUGAAUCAAUAUUAUUCUCUUUGAUCGGUUAAUUAACAUUUCAUUGAGGUAGAAAACAACUUGACCUAUUACGGUGGAGUUGAUAGGGACUAUUUUAAUUUUCCACAUCUUACAAACUUCUUGUUGCCUAUUUUUCACUAGCUUUGUAAUAUAUUAGCAGAGGUGCCUGAUAUGGUAAGGCCUAAACAGGUUGAAGAAGAAGAAGAAAGAAAGAAAGAAAGAAAAAGAAAG